rnacentral:sRNA from 1 species
AUGGUCCGGCUUGUGGACGGCCCGGACACCGGGGAGCGAUACCGGGCUAGUCUGACGGCGUGCCCUGCCCGGGAGGCUCCACCAGGGAUCGCUCCGGGCAGCCGCAAAGCCGACAGCCGUCGCAUGUGAGGGAGCCCUUUCCAUG